UGUUGUUGACAGCAGUCACAGAGACAGAAUUAGUGAAGCACACAGUGAACUUGCGAAGUUGUUAACAGAAAAAGAACUUCGAGAUGCCUUACUCUUGAUUUUUGCUAACAAACAGGAUGUCGCUGGGGCACUUUCGGUUGAAGAAAUCACCGAACUUCUCAGUCUCCAUAAAUUAUGCUGCGGAAGGAGCUGGUAUAUUCAGGGCUGUGAUGCUCGAAGUGGUAUGGGGCUCUACGAAGGGUUGGACUGGCUGUCCCGGCAACUUGUGGCUGCCGGAGUGUUGGAUGUUGCUUGAUUCUAUUGCAGCAGUUGUUUCGAGCUUAUGGUUAAAAGUUACUUUGCAUGUAAUGCAUUCUAAGAAAUUCUACAUCUCAAGUAUGAUAAUUUAGUAUGUGUACGUAUGAAUCCUGGACUGAGAAAUGUACCAUUGCUUUUAAAAAUUAUUCUGUGGCAAAUUUAAGUGAUCCUGUUACAUUGGUUAAAUAGUUUUGCUUUUGUUUUUUUUUGGAUAUAAACUUUUAAAAGGUACAUUAGGCAUUGGAAACUUUGUACACUUUGUGUAUGACCUGUACAUUGGGAGAGAAGUGGCCACAGAGAAUGAGUAGAAGCUCCUUUAUUUUAUUGAAAAAAUAGGCAGUGGAGUGCCUAACAGAACUUAUGGAAACAUGGCUUCUUUACCCCUCCUUUUUACUCAUUGUUGGCAGUCGUGGACUAGAAUUUAAGCUGUACUGGGGUAACAGGAUUACCUGACUUUCACAUUCAGCAUAACAUCUAUUAGUGCUGGGGACCAUCAAAUACAGAAAAUCAGGGUUUUUUUCCCCUACAGUUUUAUUAUAACGCUCUCCUAAAGCAUUCUGCAUAACGCACAAUGAGAAUGAAUGUUAUCUAAGUGGACCUGAGCAUUAGACCCGAACUAAAUUACGAACAAUAGAACUGUGAAAGUUGUUUGAUCUUCACUCAUAAAAACCAUUUCUAGGACUGGGCCUAGGUUUAUUUCCUAGGUCAAAGCCCUAAAUUGGUCCUUUCGUUCACACUUACUUAGGCUAAGUAAUAGUGCAUCCUCUGUUGGUAAAGUGCCACAAGUCACAUGAAGAACCAGUCACCUUUACAUAAACACACAGAGACCUAAAUAGAAAACGGCCUAGACCUUAGGAAAGGUUUUCACACAGUGGGGAAUGCUAAUUUCUUUAACAUGGUUCCCAAGUUAAGUGCAUUUACUAGACUAUAAAAAAGAUCAAGGCUCUUUAGGACAAGGUCUCAGUUAAAAGGAAGAACACAUCUAAAGUAAAAGAAACUUAAAAAGUUUACAUUUAUUACGGGAGUGUUAUGAAUAAAAGUUAAAUUUUGUGUUCUCUAUAGUUUCUUAUUUGUAAGAUACUCUUAUUAUGGAAGCAUGAUUUCUUAUAUUUAAAUAGGUAGAUUUCUUGUUAUUAAUGCUUUCACUUUAGGAUGAAGUUGAGAGCUAAAUCUUAGUGCAAUUGUUAAAAGGACAGUGAUGUCUGACAAUAGGAUGUGAUUUUUAGGUGGCAAUGUUCUGGUUCAGUUUUUCUCAAAUAACCCUUUUUUUUAACUUAGAAAACAGCACUACAAAAAGUCCAUCGAACAUUAUGGGCAACAUGUAAAUAAAAAUAUAAUAAUUUUCCCUUUUUCAAGAGUGUAACAACACGCUGUUACACAUAGCUUGUGUGCAUAUGUAAUACACUGUAAUUAAAUUAUUUAAUUUUGACUGAUUUUAGUAACUGUGAAAAAUAAAGACGUUGCGUUUAUUUGUGAGACCUUGAGUUGUUUUCUGCAGUAACGAAGAUAUGUUGACACUAAGAUGUGAACUUGCUUUUCUCGUAAAUUAUGAACUCUGUUAUUUCACUAAUUUUGUUAAACUUUGUAGUUCAUACUCUUAAAAUAUAGCUAACCUCAUUUUAAAGUUGUGCUUAGAUCUGGCUGACGUAGACACACUAGAGUCUGUUACUCUCGUGGGUGGGCUCCCGUUACUGUGCGUGCUCAGACCCUGAGCAGUCAUUGCGGAGAUUGUAUUACUUUCUUCACGGAAACGUCAAGUUGAAGAAUCAACAGAUGCUUUAAGUACAGCAUAGUAGGAUUUGCCUUCUGUCUCUGAAUUCCUAUAUUACAUCUAAUUACUACUGUAUGAAACAUGUACAGCAGGUGUGUCAAGUGUACGUAGCUCUGGUCUGUAAGUCAGAAAUGAUUUACAGCCACCAGAAGCCAUUACUGUAUUUACAUAUGUGAUCAGUAUAGAAAGCAAUAAAAUGUUUAAGUUAUAAGGAGCUCUGUUAUUCUAAAAACUGUUUAAAAAUCGUGUAUCUAGUACCAUGCUAGGUAAUAACUUAAGUCAUUAAAACUGGACACAGCUCAAUAGUAGGAAUACUUGUCUAGCAAGUCUGGGUGU
rnacentral:lncRNA from 1 species